GUGGGGAAUCUUGCGCAAUGGGCGAAAGCCUGACGCAGUCAUGCCGCGUGAAUGAUGAAGGUCUUAGGAUUGUAAAAUUCUUUCACCGGGGACGAUAAUGACGGUACCCGGAGAAGAAGCUCCGGCUAACUUCGUGCCAGCAGCCGCGGUAAUACGACGGGGGCUAGCGUUGCUCGGAAUUACUGGGCGUAAAGGGCGCGUAGGCGGACAGUUUAGUCAGCGGUGAAAGCCCAGGGCUCAACCUUGGAAUUGCCUUUGAUACUGGCUGUCUUGAGUACGGGAGAGGUGAGUGGAACUCCGAGUGUAGAGGUGAAAUUCGUAGAUAUUCGGAGGAACACCAGUGGCGAAGGCGGCUCACUGGCUCGAUACUGACGCUGAGGUGCGAAAGCGUGGGGAGCAAACAGGAUUAGAUACCCUAGUAGUCC
rnacentral:rRNA from 1 species